rnacentral:lncRNA from 7 species
UCUUCCUACAGACUACUCUUGCUCAGCUACCUUGGAUACAAUUUGAAGGGUUACAGCCCAAGAAAUCCUUUUCUGAAAACAAGUGAAGUGAAUGCUACCAUAAGUCUUGCACCAGAGGAAACAGAUUGCAUCUGAGAGUAUGCAGUGGCUGAAUGGAGGAACAUGAGAUGUGUUUCAUCUUCCUUUUCAACACUAUCAGCAAGACAGAUGAAAGGAGCAGUGAGAGGUGCCUCAUACUGAAUAUCAUUCCCUUACCCUUUUGACGCUUUUGCAUGUAGAUACAGAGUAAUUAUAUUGUGACUGAUUAUAUCACAGUGCUACCCGGUGUGAUACGUUAUUAACAGAGCAGGGGCACACAGCCAUUGCGUAAUCAACCACCUCUCCAUGCCAGCAAUGUUUGCAUUCCUUCUGAGCUAUAGCAUUCAGACAGUGUAAUUCUUUUGUUGGCACUAGACUGUCAUCUGAGUAACUGUAUUAAUUAGGAAAAUCACAGAGAGGUGUAGAUGAGCAUAUUUGUGUGGACUUUGAAAUGCAGUGGUAGAAAUGUAAAUGGAUCUAAGAUGAUGUGUAUAACUGUGUGCGCUGUCCUCAUGAUUCUCAUUUAUACUGCACUGAUUUUGUAGCUUCUGGCCUUUACCAUGGGCCUUAAAUUCACUAUUCAGUG